rnacentral:misc_RNA from 1 species
UCUCCGUUGGUGAACCAGCGGAGGGAUCAUUGCCGGUCGCCAGACCCCGUAAACCACCGCGAACCUACCCCUUCGUAUCGCCUCGGCGGGCGGCUCCAGGGCGGAGCCACCCGGGACCCGCCGGCGGCACCCGGACCCCAGACCAUGCAGACCCACCGCGACCCUCCGAGUUGGCGUAACCCCCGCGCGCGGGGGGGAAACCAGUCAAAACUUUCAACAACGGAUCUCUUGGCUCUG